AACUUGUUCAACAAAGAGUCGGUGUGUGUUUCCAGGUCCCUGGCGGUGUACUUCGUUCAUUCUCUGUUGUAAAAUAUCAGUGCAUAGUAGAAUUCAGCGGAGCAACACACACGACUAAAUGUCAUGGUGUGGUAA